UGAGUCAGUUACUUCAUUUCUCCAGCUCA
rnacentral:piRNA from 1 species